rnacentral:rRNA from 1 species
UUGAACGCUGGCGGAAUGCUUUACACAUGCAAGUCGAACGGCAGCACGGGGGCAACCUUGGUGGCGAGUGGCGAACGGGUGAGUAAUGUAUCGGAACGUACCCAGUCGUGGGGGAUAACUAUCCGAAAGGAUAGCUAAUACCGCAUACGUCCUGAGGGAGAAAGCGGGGGAUCGCAAGACCUCGCGCGCUUGGAGCGGCCGAUAUCGGAUUAGCUAGUUGGUGAGGUAAAGGCUCACCAAGGCGACGAUCCGUAGCGGGUCUGAGAGGAGGACCAGCCACACUGGAACUGAGACACGGUCCAGACGCCUACGGGAGGCAGCAGUGGGGAAUUUUGGACAAUGGGGGAAACCCUGAUCCAGCCAUGCCGCGUGAGUGAAGAAGGCCUUCGGGUUGUAAAGCUCUUUCAGCAGGAACGAAACGGUCGGCUUUAAUAAAGGCGGCGAAUGACGGUACCUGCAGAAGAAGCACCGGCUAACUACGU